rnacentral:rRNA from 1 species
CGAAAGCCUGACGGAGCAACGCCGCGUGAGGGAAGAAUGCCUGUGGGUUGUAAACCUCUUUUCUCAGGGAAGAAGAACUGACGGUACCUGAGGAAUCAGCAUCGGCUAACUCCGUGCCAGCAGCCGCGGUAAGACGGAGGAUGCAAGCGUUAUCCGGAAUGAUUGGGCGUAAAGCGUCCGCAGGUGGCUGUGUAAGUCUGCUGUUAAAGAGUGAGGCUCAACCUCAUAAAAGCAGUGGAAACUACACAGGUAGAGUGCGUUCGGGGCAGAGGGAAUUCCUGGUGUAGCGGUGAAAUGCGUAGAGAUCAGGAAGAACACCGGUGGCGAAGGCGCUCUGCUAGGCCGCAACUGACACUGAGGGACGAAAGCUAGGGGAGCG